GAUGAACGCUGGCGGCGUGCCUAACACAUGCAAGUCGAGCGAUUUACUUCGGUAAAGAGCGGCGGACGGGUGAGUAACGCGUGGGUAACCUGCCCUGUACACACGGAUAACAUACCGAAAGGUAUGCUAAUACGAGAUAAUAUGCUUUUAUCGCAUGGUAGAAGUAUCAAAGCUUUUGCGGUACAGGAUGGACCCGGGUCUGAUUAGCAAGUUGGUAAGGUAACGGCUUACCAAGGCGACGAUCAGUAGCCGACCUGAGAGGGUGAUCGGCCACAUUGGAACUGAGACACGGUCCAAACUCCUACGGGAGGCAGCAGUGGGGAAUAUUGCACAAUGGGCGAAAGCCUGAUGCAGCAACGCCGCGUGAGCGAUGAAGGCCUUCGGGUCGUAAAGCUCUGUCCUCAAGGAAGAUAAUGACGGUACUUGAGGAGGAAGCCCCGGCUAACUACGUGCCAGCAGCCGCAGUAA
rnacentral:rRNA from 1 species